rnacentral:rRNA from 1 species
GCUGGCGGCGUGCUUAACACAUGCAAGUCGAACGAUGAAGCGGUGCUUGCACCGUGGAUUAGUGGCGAACGGGUGAGUAAUACGUGAGUGACCUACCUUUGACUCUGGGAUAAGCCUGGGAAACUGGGUCUAAUACCGGAUACGACCAAUCUCUGCAUGGGGUGUUGGUGGAAAGCGUUAUGGAGUGGUUUUAGAUGGGCUCACGGCCUAUCAGCUUGUUGGUGAGGUAAUGGCUUACCAAGGCGACGACGGGUAGCCGGCCUGAGAGGGUGACCGGCCACACUGGGACUGAGACACGGCCCAGACUCCUACGGGAGGCAGCAGUGGGGAAUAUUGCACAAUGGGCGCAAGCCUGAUGCAGCGACGCCGCGUGAGGGAUGACGGCCUUCGGGUUGUAAACCUCUGUUAGCAUCGAAGAAGCGAAAGUGACGGUAGGUGCAGAGAAAGCGCCGGCUAACUACGUGCCAGCAGCCGCGGUAAUACGUAGGGCGCGAGCGUUGUCCGGAAUUAUUGGGCGUAAAGAGCUUGUAGGCGGUUGGUCGCGUCUGCUGUGAAAGGCCGGGGCUUAACUCCGGUUUUGCAGUGGGUACGGGCUAACUAGAGUGCAGUAGGGGAGACUGGAAUUCCUGGUGUAGCGGUGGAAUGCACAGAUAUCAGGAGGAACACCGAUGGCGAAGGCAGGUCUCUGGGCUGUAACUGACGCUGAGAAGCGAAAGCAUGGGGAGCGAACAGGAUUAGAUACCCUGGUAGUCCAUGCCGUAAACGUUGGGCACUAGGUGUGGGGGACAUUCCACGUUUCCGCGCCGUAGCUAACGCAUUAAGUGCCCCGCCUGGGGAGUACGGCCGCAAGGCUAAAACUCAAAGGAAUUGACGGGGGCCCGCACAAGCGGCGGGGCAUGCGGAUUAAUUCGAUGCAACGCGAAGAACCUUACCAAGGCUUGACAUGCAUUAGAUCGCGUCAGAGAUGGCGUUUCCCUUCGGGGCUGGUGUACAGGUGGUGCAUGGUUGUCGUCAGCUCGUGUCGUGGGAUGUUGGGUUAAGUCCCGCAACGAGCGCAACCCUCGUUCUAUGUUGCCAGCGGUUCGGCCGGGGACUCAUAGGAGACUGCCGGGGUCAACUCGGAGGAAGGUGGGGAUGACGUCAAAUCAUCAUGCCCCUUAUGUCUUGGGCUUCACGCAUGCUACAAUGGCCGGUACAGAGGGUUGCGAUACUGUGAGGUGGAGCUAAUCCCUUAAAGCCGGUCUCAGUUCGGAUUGGGGUCUGCAACUCGACCCCAUGAAGUCGGAGUCGCUAGUAAUCGCAGAUCAGCAACGCUGCGGUGAAUACGUUCCCGGGCCUUGUACACACCGCCCGUCAAGUCACGAAAGUUGGUAACACCCGAAGCCGGUGGCCUAACCCUUGUGGGGGGAGCCGUCGAAGGUGGGAUU